AAGAAGAAAAGAGCAACAAAAUUAACUAACCCCAAUUUUCUCCAUGUUUUGAAAGCUAACUCCCACAACUGAAACAGCUAGAAUUCCACUAAAUCUACUUAAUGGUGUUAAUUUAAUUAUUAUUAUAUUUUUUUGCUAUCAGAGUAAUAACUAUGAAGACUUAAACAUUUUAUCUUCAAAUGAAACAAUGAAAUAAAGAAUCAGAAAUAUAUUUUUGGGCAUAAAAAUCCUCCCAAACAGAUUAAACAAGCGACAACAAAACUAUGACCAAUAGAACGAAACGGAGUAAUCAAGUAUUACUGAGACACCCCAAAUAGAACAAUAAAAUAUCAGCUCAAACGAUCAAUAAGAUAGAGAAGCAACCAUCACCAAAACAAAGGAAAGUACGAUAUUAAGCAAAACAACAAAAUAAGGGAGAAAUAGACCUCAAACCGCUAGAACCAUGAACGGAACUCGAACCGGAAACCAAUAGACAGUACCUCGACGCACAAUGAAAUGGACUCCUUGGACAAUGAGCUCCGACGACCUCGAAGCUCGUCGGAAAACUCGAACUAAACUAGAAAGACAAAACAAACGGACUCCAUAAUAGUGACUCGCGAUUCGGAGUUGUUUCGAGCUAUUUCAAGUUGUUUCGAUGGAGGUUUCAGCAGUGGACCAAGGGCACUGAGAUUUACGGUUGGUGGCUAUGGAGAAUUUGGUUCAAGGCUCUGUGAUGUGAAGAAGAUGACUAGGGGUGAGUUGUUGAGCUCUCGUUCCCCAUCUCUCGUCUUUAUUUCUGUCCAUUUCCCCAGCCCCCGCUUUCCCUCGUUCCUCUCGUAUCUCUAUCGUGUAUCUCUGUAGGUGUGUGUGUUUAUCUCUGUAGGUGUGUGUGAAUACUUCUUUUUUGUUUUUUUAAUUUAUUAAAGAAAAAAAGAACUGAAAGGGGAGGCCUGUUAGCAAUCUUAAAGAUUUAGUGAUAGUGGCCGCUAUCUUGUGUAUGAGAGAAAAUCCAGAGGUAAAGGGGGUGGUGCGGCUGGUUUUAGAAGUUAGGUUUAACGUUUGCAAAAUUGGGGAUUUAGGCGAUAAAGAGAAGAAAUUUGGGUGAUUGAAUAAAGUAUUUGGACGGCUAAGAUUGAGGGUUGAUGGGGUGGGUCAGGGAAUUAAAAUAGAGGAAGUGGGCUGCUGAGGUUAAAAUAGUAUUGGGCUCAUAGAGGUUGGUCCGAUUUGGGCCAUCUCUUUGGACUUCUUGAAUUAAGCCAAGACAAAAGUUAGCCCCAAAAUUUAAUUUUCUUUCAAAAAAUAAUAAAUAACAAAACACUAAUAAAAUACAAAUGAACAUUAACUAUAACAAAACUCAUAUUGAAAUGAAAUUAUUUUUGUAUUUUUCUUUAAUUUUAAAUACUACAACAAAAAAAUUAAACUAAUAAAGUGAAAAUAAAAUAGAUUAAAAAUCGAUAAUAACUCAAGUAAAUAUUUAAAAUACAAAAACUAAAUGUGCGGGUCAGAAAUUACGUGCUUACAGCUGCCCCUCUUUUCUUGGAAACUCGAAGAGUUUUUGAGCAAAGAAUUAAGUAAGCAACGUAAUUGACUUCCGACCCGACACUUACUCAAAAGAAAUCAAAGAUUGACAAAAGAUUGUGAACGAGCCCUGGUAUCUAAGCUGCUUACAUAUUCUUGGCUAUAAAGGAAUCAGGCCACGUAUAGUUCGGAGGUAGAAAGAGUGACAGAGUAUACCGAGGUGGAGAGCCGAUUGAGGUGCCAUCGAGGUUCCAGUCCACGGUUCCUGCCAUUACAUCAUGAAUUGAAAGCAAAAAUUAAAGCAAAAUUAAAAGAAAAAUACAAGAUCAUAUCUACUUCUUGUCUUGAAUCUUCCUUGAAUCUCUACUUGAUCCUUCAACAUGAAAUUGAAAAUUUACCUUAUUCUUCAGGUGGCCAUCAUGCUGACUUGAAUUUGAAGAAAACUGGAAAUUGACCCUAUUCUUCAGGCGGGCACCAUGCUGCUUGCACUUGAAAUAAACUUGAACUUGCGGUAGACUUGAGCUUGCAAACCUUGUUCUUCAGGCGGCUUGUGCUACUUCUGGUUUGAAUUGAAAAACUGGAGGUUAACCCUAUUCUUCAUGAGGGAUCCUGCUUCCUCUGAUUUGAACUUGAAAAGUGAAAGUUGACCAUGUUCUUCAGGAAAGCUCCUGAUGCCUCUUAAACUUGAAAAUUGAAAGUUGACCAUGUUCUUCAGGUGGGCUCCUGAUGCCUUCCUGACUUGAAAUUGUAAACUGAAAGUUGACCCUGUUCUUCAGGUGGGAUCCUCCUGAUGCUUCUCUAACUUGAACUUGAAAACUGAACGUUGACCCUGUUCUUCAAGCGGGGUCUUGAUGCUUCUCUGAUUUGAACUUAAAAUCGAUUUCUGAAAUAUUGACCCUGUUCUCCAGGUGGGUGCCUGCAAUCAAAACAACACAACAAAUGAAAUUUUCUGCACCAGUUUGCACUAGGAAGAUUUGUGACUUGUUAGCAAAACUAUAAAUCACUUAUGUUAUUGAUGCAAUGAUGAGAGUAAAACUAAAGACUCGACUAGGAUGUGCGUCUCAUGCGCG
rnacentral:lncRNA from 1 species